GAAAUAUAUUUUUUUUUACUAAAAAAAAUUUAAUGAAAAUAUAAAUAUGUGUAGUCCUCAUACCUGUGAAUAAUACAUAAAAAAAAAAAAAAAUGAGAUGAUACCGAGAAUAGGAGCGGCUACUGUUGUAGGUGAGAAAAUAGUAAGGUAGGAUACAUAAAGUUAUUUCAUUUAUAUCUGUAAGCAACGAUAAAUCAUUGUUGACAAUAGACAAUUCCGAGCGCAGUUCGGUAGUACAUUAUUUGAAGUGACGCAAUUUUUAUUGCGAUUUUCGUUUAAAUUUGAUUUCAAAACGCUUUAUGAAAAGAAAAAAAGUUGUCCGAGAAACUUGGAAAUUUUACCACGUCUAGGUAAGUUCAAAAUAAGUAUUAUUACCAAGUUUUAUGUCUCUACGUGUAUUUAUAACUGAAUUACAGCAAAAGAACUCUCAAAAAUUAAAAUUCCUUAAAAGCUCAAAAUUGGCACAAAAGUUUUGACGAUGGUACCAUAAGAAAGUAAAUCAAAAAAGCAACAAAACAUAUAUCUAAGGACUUUUCGAUUUAAUCAUUUUUUUCUGGUAGAAAACGUCAUCCGUGUUUUCAUAAAAAAAUGAAAUAGUGAAAUUGCACGUUUUUCUACGUUUUUUCCCCCUUAAGUGCUUUUUUUCAAAAAAUAUCGUCAAAAAUCUAAAACUGACUUCUUUAAAUUACUAUCUAGUGAAUUUGAGCUUUCAGAAAAGUCGAAACACGUUAAACAACGCCGAACAAGUUUACUGGAAAAAAAAAAAAACGUGUCCACAGACUAGAACAAAGAAAGAAAAAAUUAAAAAUCUUAGUAAAACCAAUCGGCUCCAUCGCUACGCUCGGAAUCUAAAACUAUAAUUUGAUUAUGUUUGUUACCUCCGAAAAAAAUUCAAGGGUUAUAUCUUCGUGGAACAGUCUGUAUAUAUAUAUAUAUAUAUUAUUAAUGUUUCAAUAUUAAUAACUAAAAUAUUUAAAGGUUUUUUGACAAAACCUAACACAACUAUAAUAAGCGAAAUAUUGUUCGGUACGCACACUACGCAUUAGUGUGUAUUAUUUUUUUUCCGAGUCCCUUGAAUUUUACUCGUUGAC